rnacentral:rRNA from 1 species
UACGGAGGGUGCAAGCGUUAUCCGGAUUUACUGGGUUUAAAGGGUGCGUAGGUGGGUAAGUAAGUCAGUGGUGAAAUCUUCGAGCUUAACUCGGAAACUGCCAUUGAUACUAUUUAUCUUGAAUACUUUGGAGGUAAGCGGAAUAUGUCAUGUAGCGGUGAAAUGCUUAGAUAUGACAUAGAACACCAAUUGCGAAGGCAGCUUACUACACAGUUAUUGACACUGAGGCACGAAAGCGUGGGGAGCAAAAAGG